CGCCAAGAGAAGCCAAUGGUCAGUGCGACCCUGGGAAAUUUAGUGACGCACUUCCUGGUAGUGAGUAUAAGGCGGAGCCUGUAGGAAGCACUAUCGCGCUCAGUUCUCAGAAGGAUGUUUCUCAGAGACUCAGUUUCCAAUUCCUGUCAUGCAAGGGUAUAAAGCAGUGUGUGAGCUUAGGUAUUUGAUGACGCACUUUCGGCAGAGACUAUAGAAAAAGCACGCGCCUGCCUCCCAAGGAAUGACAUUUCGCAUCAGAAUUGUCGGCCAGAGGUGUGGUGUCCGGACUCCUGGAACCGCGGGAAAUUUAAGGAUGCACUUCCUCUUGCUGACAUUCCGCCGCAGUAGACGCAGGCGUACGCCCAGACAUUAAGGGCCACAUUUCCGAGGCCAAGUGCAAACCCGGGCAUGGGGGGAAUUUUAUUUUCAAUUACGGAACAGGAGGGCAGAAAAAAGGGCUGCAGUUCCGUCAUGCAGGGCUCUACGGGCAUUAACAUGUACGACGGUAGGAAAUAGGGGUAAGGGCGCUACUGUCCUAACGAGAACAGUUAGAAGUCCGCGCUCCAGCUCCGAGAACGCCGGCGAGGUGCCUUGUAGCCGGGUGUAGCUUUGAAAGCCCGUAUUUCCCAUCACGUAAAGCUGUACGCAAGGUUUUGAAGGGCUCUGCGCAAUUCGGGCAGCUGAUGGCGUACUUCCUGUUACGUGUUACCGCGGAGCACGCAGGAAAACAUGAAGCCGGCCGAGGACUACAUUUCCCAGAGGGCCUUGGGACACCCGCGCCAGCAUGGAGUCCGCUACGACGAGACCCACUCAGGCCCGUGCGUGGGGACACUCCAGGCACUGUCUGUGUCCUUGUGUCUGUGCCUCAGUCUGCCUGCUCUCCCUGUCUCCUCAGCUGUGGACAUCACCCGCCAUGCGUGGACACGCUCUUGGCCACCUGUCACCCGUACACCACUGGGAGAGAUUUACCAUAAGCCACUUCCGAACCCCUAACCACCACCUCUCAUGUGGAGUGGCGGCUGAGCCAUCUGCACCAGCCACGAAAGACACUCACAGAGUGAGAGCUUUGCCAGGGCUCCCACGGGGGCCUUUACGGGGUAUUUAAUGAACAAAAUAUAUACAUGUGCACACCCAUCUGUGUAUGUAUGUGUGUAUGCGUGUAUGCAUCUGGGCAGUGAUGGCUCACGCUUUUAGUACCAGCACUCAGAAGGCAGAGGCAGGUGGAUCUCUGAGUUCAAGCCCAGCCCGGUCUACAGAGUUAGUUCCAAGACAGCCGGGGCUACACAGAGAAAUCCUGUCUCAAAAAAAGGAAAAGAAAAAAUAGUAGAGAAAGUGGUAG
rnacentral:lncRNA from 1 species